GCCUGGGUGGCUCAGUCAGUUAAGUGUCUGACUUCAGCUCAGGUCAUGAUCUCACAGUUCGUGGGUUCAAGCCCCGCAUCGGGCU
rnacentral:tRNA from 1 species